ensembl:lncRNA LINC01606 long intergenic non-protein coding RNA 1606
AGAAGUUGCUGGCAGUCAGAGGCAGGGGAGCUGUCACUCGCGGCGAGCCGGGCGGCGGCCAGGGCGCAAAGUUGAGAGCAGUCUCUAGUCUGAGCCUUUCAGUCGCCUUCCAGUAUCAUCAGUACCACGGGCUCCACCUUGCUGCGGCCCCUCAGCAACCCAGUGCACCUGCCACUCGACCAGAGGGAAAGCAGUCAGGAGUGGGAGGCCUCUGAACAAGCUGUAUUUUGUGUAGCCGCCAGCUUCCAUCUUUCUCCAGGCAGAACGCUGGCCCUCAGCACAUCUUUCUGCUUCCCCUCGGUCAGACCACCGAGAACUGCCGCUGUCCUGUCUGACUCCUCCUGUUUUGGUACUAGACCCCAGAUGAGGAUCUCAGGAAGAUCCACAAAGCUGCGUCCAGGGGAACGAACGUGUGGAAGCUGCAGCGGAGCCUCCUGCUCAAGAGUAAAGGACCGGUCUGAAACCUACAAGAACAGAUUCUCACAGUAGACGAGGAGCCUGUUUUUCAGCUAGCUGCUGCAAGGAGCUGGACAUUUCUCCCUUCAAAUAGGACCUGGAAGGCCUGGAAGCAUCUGGAGAAGGGCAUGGCUGUGAGUAGAGAAACAGAGGAUACAGGCUAAAGCAGGAGGAAGCGAGAGGACUCACGGAAAGCCUUGCUGCACUCUCCAAAAGAGCUGCCCUUUUCACGUGAAGAGCUAUGUGAUCGGAUCCCCGGUUUGGCAGAGUAGACAUGCGAGAAGACUGAACGUUUCAUCGUUGAAACCUCUUAAAGGUGGAAUGUGUGGCAGAAAGAACGUCUGAGAAGCUCACGCGAUUUGCAGAAGGAACAUUUGUAGAAGAUUCCCUGUUUUCCGAAGGAAUGUCAAGUUCCAAAGGACACAUAUUGCUUGUCUCUGAACUUCUCAGCUGCCUGCAGAUCUUCCUGUUUUUCAGCUGCAGUUAGGGUUUGUCUGAGGAGAAGCAUAACAUCCCUCCAGGCUUACCCUGGUUGCUCAGUGAAGAAUAAAGUACAGGGAACAUGAGAGAAUACAUGGGAGAUCAAUCAAGAUGCUACUUCAGUAAUCCAUGACAAUGACAACGUAAAGUAAUGCAAGGUGCACGUGAUGGGUAUGGCCAAAUGCUCCACAAAUAAAUGUGUUGAAUGAAUGAACAAAUGAAUAAGCGAAGUGAAUGGAACAUCAAACUGCAUAAAAAUAUAUUUAUUCAUAAAUGAGAGGUGAUGAUUGCCAACAUAUCAUAAUCAGACUCUGACCUUGGUUACUUAUGAGUUUGACAACGAAGAGGAAAGAGGAUCAGAAAUUCUACUCCCAGGAAUUUCUCCUAAGAAGAUAAUCAGAAAAGUUUACAAAGAUGAAUAGAAAAGAAGAGUCACUGCAGCCUUAUUUGUAAAAGUGAAAAAUAGCAACAGCCCAAAUGUCAUGAAUGGAGAAUUAAUAUAUGGUGCAUCCAUACAAAAAUACUGUGCAGCGAGUAAGCCAAUGAAGCCCAAAAUUUCUGACAUGGACAUUGACAUAGCAGAGUGACAAUAACGAGGUUAUAAAACAUCAUCAGUGAAAGGUC